AAUAUUGGGCAAUGGGCGAAAGCCUGACCCAGCGACGCCGCGUGAGGGAAGAAGGUCUUCGGAUUGUAAACCUCUUUCAGCAGGGAAGAAGGAAGUGACGGUACCUGCAGAAGAAGUCACGGCUAACUACGUGCCAGCAGCCGCGGUAAUACGUAGGUGGCGAGCGUUAUCCGGAAUUACUGGGUGUAAAGGGUGUGUAGGCGGGAUUGCAAGUCAGGCGUGAAAUGCAAAGGCUCAACCAUUGGAUUGCGCUUGAAACUGUAAUUCUUGAGAGUGGGAGAGGUAAACGGAAUUCCUGGUGUAGUAGUGAAAUGCGUAGAUAUCAGGAGGAACACCGGUGGCGAAGGCGGUUUACUGGACCACAACUGACGCUGAGACACGAAAGCGUGGGGAGCAAAC
rnacentral:rRNA from 1 species